GCAAGUGGCAUCCCUGAGCUAUCUCCGAACAUAAAACAGCCGGGAAGAGAAACCGACAACCAGCAAACAUAAAUCAACCAUAAAACAGUAACAAAGAGAAAAAUGGGAUCCGACAAGUGGCGUUCACUGCGUGGGCUACUCCCCACCAACCCUUUCGGGGGGGGAAUCAGCCCUGAAGAGCUGAAGCUCAAGAACUGAAGAGCAAAGAGGGCAGCUCCAAUCUAGGACGAGUUCCCAGGAGAGCACUGAUAGCUCCUGAGGAGAGAAGCCUGAAGAAAAAAGAAAAAGAAGAAGAGAAAGAAAAACAGCCAGAGGAGUCUGCAAAAAACAGCAGUCACUGAGAAUUACAUCUCUCAGCUUCUACCGAAGACAGUUCGUAGCAGAGCAGCCCGGAUCGGAACCGGAAGGCGCCUCCGGAUUCUUCUCCUGUGACCUGCUGGACAGAGACGGGAGGCUUCGGACAGCUCUGACGACAGAUUCGAGCGAGAUCUGACGUGGGUGUCGGUACGACACGUGAAACCAUUUCGAGUGCGAGAACAUGAAAACGCGGAUCCGAGAAACAAUGAUCCAAGUAACAAAGAGACGAGUACUCAGACAGGAGUCGAGACUCAGACUGCACAAGACAACUUGGAAGUGAAAUAAAAAGAAACUAAGGACUUUGGGGGGAAUUCUCUGUUAAGGUCCUGAAAAGAAAAGCGAAACAAUGAUUUCACAUAGAAGCGAA